GCUAAUGUUGGGCCAUGUAAUAUGUAAUACAUUAACGUUUUAAUGAAUAGUCUAACGAUUUAUAGUCAUGGUACUCUAUUGUUAUAAUAUGUAUUUUUGACUGAAUACAUGUUUGUUUUAUUUGUCUAUAUCCUAGAUUCGCAGCUGGACACAUCCUUCUACACUGUAUGCAAACAUGCAACAUCAUUACACACAGUACAAGGAGUCAGACUGGCAUAUGAGGAGCAAAGGAACCCAGGCAGUAGCAUCGUUUCACAAUGUUUCCAUCAUCAUCAUCAGUGGAUGCAUUUGCCGUCCGUAGCCUGAGAUUUCAGAUUUGCAGCAAAAAAAAUUGAUUUUCUCAUUUAUUGGAAUGCUGUGCAGGUAUUUGUACCUUGCAGCCAUCCAUUACAAUGUCACCAAGCCGUAACAAAAGCAGGAGAGGGAAAGUACAAGGCUAUGUUCCCAAAACACAAAUGACAUACCUUAUGUGGAGGAUGUGAUCAGGCUUGUGUUUGAUGAGGUAUUUGAAGAUAAGCUGAAGGAAACCCCGAUUCCAAUGGACCUGGCAUCACAGUUUGAGAGACCUUCAAAGGAGGACGUGAUUGCAUGCCAUCUUCAGUGCAGGGGUCGUCGAAAGCCAAAAUUGUGACCGAUCUGAUCAGGAAGCUCCAAGCGUAUCUGGAGAACAACACACGACAGGAUGAUAACCUUAUAGUGUCGUCUUAAAUAGCACCAGCUGACAAAGCUUUGAUAUGCCAUUUAUCUGAAUAGAUAGCUGUAAGAAAUGAAUUGAACAAUUUUUGAAAGAAGAGCACAAUAUGGUUACUAAAGUAUGUUUAUUUGUAUAUUGUUUAACAUUUAAAUAUAUAUUUGUAAUAAAUAAAAAAAACUUUUGACUGACUAUUA